UCUCUACAGGUGUGACGCCCCUGCAAGCAUCCGUCAUCUGGAAGCACUUGCCGGUGGUGAAGGCACUCCUGGCAGCCAAAGCAAACCCAAACAUAGCUGAUAAAGAUGGCUUAAUCACCAUCCACAAGGCUUCUCACUAUGGAUAUAAGGAUAUACUCCAGGAACUUCUAAAAGGAGGAGCCAUGAAGGACCGGCAGGAUAAAUUGGGCAGGACAGCUCUACACCAUGCAGUGUUGACAGAGAAGGUGGUGUCAGUGAACAUACUUCUGGCUGCUUGCUGUAACACCACUCUGAAGACCAAACAAGGAGAAACAGCCCUCAGAAUUGCAGAGAAGAAGCGCAACAGGGCCAUCAUAAACGCCUUGAAAAAUCACCAGGCAUGUACAUAGACAAAUAAUGGUAACAAGGCAUUCCUCUGAGAAAAAAAAA